rnacentral:rRNA from 1 species
CCUACGGGUGGCUGCAGUCGAGAAUCUUCGGCAAUGGGCGCAAGCCUGACCGAGCGACGCCGCGUGCGGGAUGAAGGUCUUCGGAUUGUAAACCGCUGUCGGAGGGGAUGAAAUGCCGGUGGGUUCUCCCAUCGGUUUGACAGAGCCUCGGAGGAAGCACGGGCUAAGUUCGUGCCAGCAGCCGCGGUAAUACGAACUGUGCGAACGUUAUUCGGAAUCACUGGGCUUAAAGGGUGCGUAGGCGGCGGCUCAAGUCAGGUGUGAAAUCCCCCGGCUCAACCGGGGAACCGCGCUUGAAACUGGGUCGCUCGAGUGAGGCAGGGGUGCAUGGAACUUCCGGUGGAGCGGUGAAAUGUGUAGAUAUCGGAAGGAACGCCGGCGGCGAAAGCGGUGCACUGGGCCUUGUCUGACGCUGAGGCACGAAAGCCAGGGGAGUGAAC